GGAAUGGAAUUAUGUUUCUCAUUAACCCAGUCGCUUCCCUUCAGCCCUGCUUUCAUUCUAAAAAAAAAAAACAAACAAACAAAAAAAAAAACCUCAAUAUACAUACAUGAUUCUCUUUCAUGCUUUUUAGCCCUUGGUUUGUGUGUCUGUAGCUAAUAGAAUGGCUAAUGAGGUAUGUUUAAUAUUUAGCUUUAACAACUCUGAGCCAGGAGCCAGUGGCUCACACCUGUAAUCCUGGCUACUCAGGAAGGUGAAAUCAGAAUAAUCAACUGUUUAAGGCCAGCCCACACAGAAAUGACUCUGAGUUCAAAUUCCAGUACCAGUAGCACCGAAGAAAAAAGUCAUUCUCUUCAUGCAAUAAUCGAACACAAGGACAAAUCAAAAAGUGACAAAUACAUUUGCUAUGGUGCUAAAACUAUGUUCCAAAAAACUAAACAUGCAGGUUUAUAUUGUUGGGAUGUUUGCCUUAAUGUCAUUUUCUAUAGAUUUACUAAAUACCCUGCUGUCUAUUUGUCUAUUUGCAAUGAUGGAGGGGGGGAGACCAUGGUUUUUAAAAUGUGUUCUAAUUUACGAAAAAUGGAAACAGUACAAUUUUCAGAACAUAUUUUUAAGCAAUCUAUUUACUGUUGGAUUUAUUUUGAAAUGAAGUAGUAAGAAGAAAACACACACGCGCGCGCGCGCACACACACACACACACCCCAGGACUGACACAUACACACAAAACUGUCUCAUUAACUUUCCUGGCCCAGACUAACUUUGAACUACAAAUCUCAAAUCUCAGCCUUCUGAGUAGCCAGGAUUACAGACAUGAGCCACAAGUACCUGCUUCAUGUUGAGUUGUUAAAUAUGCUAAAAUAACGUGAGAAUGCCCAAAAGUCAAAGGAUAUUUCUUGGUUUUAGAAUACACAAACUCUUCAAUAUCUCAAAACUUUGACUCAUUGCUGUACAGUACAGGGAGGCCAGUCUGUGUCUGCUCCCUUUCUGACUCCUGCUCUUGGCCUUCCUUCCUCCAUGUGUGACAUGGCUCACGCUUGGCUCCCAAUCCUCUUCCACCUUCCAUGUUUUUCAUAUCAUUCAUAUUUCUUAACACAUCACUAUCUCUUCCACUCUGGAAGUGGUUCUAAUACAGUAUGUCUAAAAUUCAAAUUGCUGAAGAGCCACCACCCCCCAGCACAAGCAAAGCCUUUUCUAGAAUGCUCGUGAUAACACUAUUUUCUUCAUUCAGCUACACCCAAAGCCUUAGAAUUAUCUUCAACAUCUGCUUGCUGCAUCAGCUGUCACACUUACCAAUGCUCGUUUCUGUUUUCAUCUACUCUGCUGGUAUGAGGAAAUAAGGCAAUAUUUACUUCAGACAUAAUGAACAAUGAUUGCUGACGGGUUUAUAGAAACCUCCAGGGAGAGUGGCGAUGUCCCCCACACAGCUAUCAGACGUGUAUGGAAAACAAUACACAAGCAAUGUAUUUUUAAGUAACUAUGGACUUUAUCUAACAGUAAAGAGGUUUCAAGAGAGAUGGAACAAAAUGAAAUGAAGUAUCUAAAGAAAUCAAGGUACUUGGUAGGGUUUUGUGCUCUAAAUACUCAUGUGUUAGGGAUCUUGGUCUCGGUAACACUCUUAUAUUUACAAAGUUGACCUGCUUCAUAUAUUUUAUUAUAGUAACAAAGCACUGGUUGUUCAGGUUUUCUAAUAAGAGAUAGGAAGAAGGUCCCAUAAUUAAGGCUGUAUGUAUGUUUACAUAUCCAAAACAGAAAUACAUUAAUAGUCAUGAAAGUUAACAGUCACAACAAACCAAGUCUUAGAUUUUAAUAUCAAGUAAAGGGACGCCUUUCAGCAAUUCUAGGAUUGAGCAUAAGGAAAGGAAUGGUUCGCUGCAGAUAGGUGGGGUUAAGAUUUGUUAGGGAAUAAGUUUGUUAACUGAUAACAAAAAGAAAGCAGAACUACUUCACCCCUCUUGUGGUUCUAUCUUCCCUGGAAAAGGAAGGAAGGACCAACAUAGUGAACAAGAAACUAAAGCUGAAGUUAGAGAAGAUGAACA